GACGAACGCUGGCGGCUUGCUUAACACAUGCAAGUCGAACGAUGAAGAAGAGAAACGCGAACUUCGGUUCAAAUUUCACUUCGGAUUAGUGGCAGACGGGUGAGUAACGCGUGAGCAACCUACCUCUUACAAAGGGAUAGCCUCGGGAAACCGUGAUUAAUACCAUAUGACACAUUCAUAAGGCAUCUUAAGAAUGUUAAAGCUACGGCGGUAAGAGAUGGGCUCGCGUCCCAUUAGCUAGUUGGUGAGGUAACGGCCCACCAAGGCGACGAUGGGUAACCGGCCUGAGAGGGUGAACGGUCACAUUGGAACUGAGACACGGUCCAAACUCCUACGGGAGGCAGCAGUGGGGAAUAUUGCACAAUGGAGGGAACUCUGAUGCAGCGACGCCGCGUGAGCGAUGAAGGAAUUCGUUUCGUAAAGCUCUGUUCUAUGGGAAGAAAAGGACUGUACCAUAGGAGAAAGCCCCGGCUAAAUACGUG
rnacentral:rRNA from 1 species